rnacentral:rRNA from 1 species
AGUGAACGCUGGCGGUAGGCCUAACACAUGCAAGUCGAACGGCAGCACAGGAGAGCUUGCUCUCUAGGUGGCGAGUGGCGGACGGGUGAGGAAUACAUCGGAAUCUGCCCAGUCGUGGGGGAUAACGUAGGGAAACUUACGCUAAUACCGCAUAUGACCUUCGGGUGAAAGAGGGGGAUCGCAAGACCUCUCGCGAUUGGAUGAGCCGAUGUCGGAUUAGCUAGUUAGCGGGGUAAUGGCCCACCAAGGCGACGAUCCGUAGCUGGUCUGAGAGGAUGAUCAGCCACACUGGAACUGAGACACGGUCCAGACUCCUACGGGAGGCAGCAGUGGGGAAUAUUGGACAAUGGGCGCAAGCCUGAUCCAGCCAUACCGCGUGGGUGAAGAAGGCCUUCGGGUUGUAAAGCCCUUUUGUUGGGAAAGAAAUCUUUCAGGCUAAUACCCUGGGAGGAUGACGGUACCCAAAGAAUAAGCACCGGCUAACUUCGUG